AACGAACGCUGGCGGCAUGCCUAACACAUGCAAGUCGAACGAGACCUCCGGGUCUUGUGGCGCACGGCUGCGUAACGCGUGGGAACCUGCCCAUAGGUUCGGAAUAACUCUCCGACAGGGGUGCUAAUACCGGAUAAUAUCUUCGGCCCAAAAAUUUAUCGCACUAGGUUGGGCCCUAGUUGGAUUAGGUUGUUGGUAGGGUAAAAGACUACGAAGCCGACAAUCCAUAGAUGGUCUGAGAGAAUGAUCAGCCACACUGGGACUGGGACGCGGCCCAGACUCCUACGGGAAGCAGCAGAGGGUAAUAGAGGAAAGCCGGCGGAAGGCUGAUCCAGCAAUGCCGGGUAAGCGAUGAAGGCCUGAGGGUUGUAAAGCGCUUUUACCCGGGAUGAUAAUGACAGUACCGGGAGAAUAAGCUCCGGCUAACUACGUG
rnacentral:rRNA from 1 species